AUGUUGUCUUCAGCCCUGGCCUCAGUUCUUGUUCCACCUUGGAGUGGCCGCCUUCGAAGACCCAAGCAAGGAGGCAACGAAGUACAGCAUGAACCACAAGAUUGUGGACAGAAUAUGAACCCAUCUAGCUUAUUUCGCCAGGAACGGCAGCAACAACCAUUUCUUCGUUCCCAGAGGCGACCAUCUGAACACAUGUUGGCCCAUGAUAAUGACAUGCAGUUGACUGCAGGAACCAGCAAUAACUCUCCUGACUGGCAAAAAGAGAACAAUUCCCCGAACAUCACAACCACAAUACAGCCAAAGAGACCCGUUACCAAGUCCUCCUCUGUGGGCAUGAUGUACAAUAAUACAGAUUUGCAUCCUUUUCCCACACCUCUGGACACUCGUCGGGUACCAGAGUUGGCCCAUUCAGGGUACAGAAUAUCAAACACUGGAGAUGAACAUGAGUCUUUCAAAUCAUUGAGCUCUAAGCCAACAACAAGCAGCCUACUUCUUUCCUUGAGGAGGUCAAAUUUGAGAAAUUCCAGUGCUGAGCCCACACAAUCAGAGACUCAGAUGACUAGGUCUGUCAGGUCCCUUACGUUGCCUAGCAGAGUUGUUCUGAAAACUCCAUCAUUUGCCCAUCCUGUUACCGCUGAUGACCAAACCCCUGAAUACCCAGACCCUCCUGCAAGAACGGAGGAAAUACCAGUCAGUCAGUUCCCUUUAUCACCUAGAAUUAGGAGUAGAGUGCCAUUAAGGGCAUCACUGUUUCUAAACAAACCAGAGACAGAAAUUUCAAAGAGACUAGAAGCUUCUAUUGCCAAAGCAGAGGAGGAAACUUUCCCACGCUCCACAACCAAAACCAGCCAACUUGGGGUUCUCAGAGCCCAACAACGUUCUUAUUCAGUUCUUUUGAGGGAAUAUUCCAGUACACAAGACAUAGAUACAGUGGAACAAAACACUGCCAACAACACCAACCUGCAAAACUCCAAUAUGACCAAACAAGAAGUAACUCCAGAUACCACAAUUUCUCCCAAAGAUUCAACUAAUUUUAAUGUUCAACAAUCUGGCUUUAAUGUCCAAAAAUUAAAAUCACAAAGCACACACAAUAUAAUAGCCAGCAGUUCUUUGGGCACAAGCACCUUCACAGACAGGCUUAACUACUCACCCAGGAAAGACUCUUCUGUUGAUGGAAGUCCCACAAAUAUAUAUCUGGACUCUAAGAAAUAUUCUCAGUCAAGUCAAAACACAAUGGAUCUUUCGAGCCCUCUUUCUCCAAGCAGACCUCUCAGAAGUGUAAGAGUACCAAGCAUUUAUUCAUACCUAAGGGAGUACAGCCCGACGCUGUCCACCCCUUCCCCUUCCACCCCUUCUUCCCACAUACAGCGAGCUGAAACAUCGCCUCCUAAGCAAGAUAGAGGCGUAACACAGCAGGGUGACCAGAAAACACUUCCCUCAAAAUUUUCAUUUGACUUCAACCCUUUUGUGCCACAGGCACAAGUGUUACAAAAAAGCUCUUAUGGCUCUAAUAUAUCACCAGCUCAAUCUCUGCCUCCUGAUUUUGGACGAAGAUCAGCACCUCGUCUCAGUACAUCUCCAUAUUCAGGCCUCAUCUCCUCACGACCUACACUCAACAACACUUUACAAGAACUACCCUCUCCGCCUGUGCCCAAAACUCAUAUCCGAUCCACAUCUUAUGAUAUUGUAACCACUCCUGCAGACUUCAAAAAAAGUGAUCCAAGCUCUUCACUGUCCACAUACACAAGCAUUAUAAGAAAACCAAAGGAACAGUUUGCUUCUUCUAACAGAGAACAGAGGACAGCAGUUCAAGCUUACACAAGCGCCCUAGAUAAUCACAAACCUGCCCAGCCAUGCCUUUUACAAACUGCACCAGAUGCAAGUUUUGUCAUGGAAAGCCAAAGCGCUAAUAUAAGCCCACACCCAAGGCAGCUCAACACAGGCUCUAACAACUUCUUUCAUCAGGAGCAUGAUGGCCUGAUGGAACUUCAGCUUGAUAAGGGUAAUUCUUACCCCAAGCACAGGGAGAGUGAGAAAAAUAAGUAUUUAUUACCUGAUAAGCUCACAGUAGAAAGUGAAACUCCACUGACAUCUGAGAAGGAGAUUCCUGCUGUGCAUAUGCGUGAGAGAUUGCAGGAAAUGCAAAGUUCCAAUUCAAAAAAAGGCCUCUUUAGUUCACGAGUUAAGAAAGACUUCUCCUCAGCUUCUUUGCCAGACAAAGAGGUUGUUAGUCCCCAGUAUUUAAAAACCAAAAAACAUUUGCCAGUGUUCAGAACGAACAGCAGGAUUGACCAGAUGUUAAAUCGCUUGAAACUGACAUUUGGUGUCAAACGUUCAGACAGCUCACCUGACACACUACCAAAAAAGAACAAGAGUUCCACUCAGCAGCCCUCAGAUACUGAGACUUUUGAAAGUCCCAAGACAAAGGAGAAAACAUGCUCUGAGAGCCACCCGGCACCCUCUAACUCCUCUUUAACAACUGAUAAAACCUCUUUAGGUUCCUUGUCACUACUAACACUAAAGAAAUCUGAGAAUACAUUAAAUAUGAGUGGACAAAAUAGGUCUAAGGCUGAAAUAAAUUAUUCUGGGUCCCCACAGGAGGGGCCCAACCCGACCUUGACCAUCGAUAAAGCAUCUUUUGCCUCUUUUGGGUCUUUGUCGCCACUUACAUCAGAGAAAUCUGAGAGUACUUUAAAUAUGAAUUGGCAAAAUAGAUCUACAACUGAACAAAAGGGCUCUGGGUGCACAUGGGAGGCCCCCAGCUCAUCUUUGACCACCAAUAAAGCAUCUUUUGCAUCUUUGUCGCCAGUUACAUUAAAGAAAUCUGGGAAUACUUUAAAAAUGAAUUGGCAAAACAGAUCUACAACUGAACAAAAGGGUUCUGGAUGCACACAGGAGGCCCCCAACUCAUCUUUGCCCACCGAUAAAGCCUCUUUUGCUGCUUCUGGGUCUUUGUCACCACUUACAUUCAGGAAAUCUGAGAAUACUUUAAAUAUGGACUGGCAAAACAGAUCUACAACUGAACAAAGUGGUUCUGGGUGCACAUGGGAGCCUCCCAACUCAUCUUUGACCACGGAUAAAGCCUCUUUUGCUUCUUUCGGGUCUUUGUCGCCACUUACAUUAAGGAAAUCUGAGAAUAUUUUAAAUAUGGACUUGCAAAACAGAUCUACAAAUGAACAAAGUGGUUCUGGGUGCACAUGGGAGGCACCCAACUCAUCUUUGACCACGGAUAAAGCCUCUUUUGGGUCCUUGUCACCCUUAACAUUAAAGAGGCAUAGCGAUGAAAAUGGAAAUCGGUCUUAUGGUAGGAGCUUUAGUCCACACAGGCAAAAGGCCCAAAGUAUGAAUCGUUCUGCCACCUUGCCACAUUACAAAAAAUCCUCUAUCGGUCCCCCAUCGCCCUUUUAUUUGUUUGAUUUUGAUUCAGAAGACAUUCAGAAUGACAAUGUGUUUUAUAGUCCAUUGAACAAAAAAACAAAUUCACUUUGUGAGUCUGAUGACUUCUCUCCUCAGAGCGCCACCAAGAGUCCUGUGCACCAAAACCUUGUGAGGUCUCACUUGUCCUCAUCAUGUGCUGAUUUAAAGUAUGGUCUACACAGUGGACGAUCUUUCUCAGUAAGCAGUGUGGUUUCAAGCCGCCCAUCAGGUCCUGGACGAAUCUCAACAAGCAGCAUCAGCGACCUCUCAAGUUUGGAAGAAUUUCUGCCGAAGGAGAAUUAUACAAUAGUUGACUCUCCAAUGAGUAGUAGCCAUUCCCCAAUCUAUGAUGCAAAAUCUAUCACUGGUAAACAGUCUCAAUAUGGAUAUACAGAUAAUCUUGAUCUUGAUCAUGAUGAUGCAGACCCAACCCCACCUCCAUCACCAACUAUGUCCUCUUCACCUCGUCGGAUAUCCCAGGCUCCUUCUGUGUCUUCCCCCAUAUGGACAACUCCAGAAAAUCUGUCUCCUCCUCGUGGAAUCCUGUCAUCAAGGAGCUACAAAACUAGCAUGACUGUUUUUGAGGAGUCUGAUUCUGACACCACAACCGAUGAUGAAUACUAUCUUGAUAAUGGUGAUGCGGCAGAAACAGAACUUUAG
ensembl:lncRNA